AACGAACGCUGGCGGCAGGCCUAACACAUGCAAGUCGAACGCCGUAGCAAUACGGAGUGGCAGACGGGUGAGUAACACGUGGGAACGUACCCUUCGGUUCGGGAUAACUCAGGGAAACUUGAGCUAAUACCGGAUACGUCCGAGAGGAGAAAGAUUUAUCGCCGAGGGAUCGGCCCGCGUCUGAUUAGCUUGUUGGUGAGGUAACGGCUCACCAAGGCGACGAUCAGUAGCUGGUCNGAGAGGAUGAUCAGCCACAUUGGGACUGAGACACGGCCCAAACUCCUACGGGAGGCAGCAGUGGGGAAUAUUGGACAAUGGGCGCAAGCCUGAUCCAGCCAUGCCGCGUGAGUGAUGAAGGCCCUAGGGUUGU
rnacentral:rRNA from 1 species